UUGUGAGUGGUUUCGUUAACAAUUGAAGUAUAUUGCCAAAGCCUUCAACAAAUAAGACAAAUUUUUUUCAAAUCUAAAACGCAUUUUUUAAAGACAAAUAUUGUAUUGUGCAUGACCUGUCUCCACUUUGUUAAAUUUAAAACUCAUUUUAUAAACGAACUUAAGUCUAAGAAGAACGAAGUUCAAUUAGGCUCAGUUCCUUCAGUGUCCCACAAUAUUCGUUUUACGAUGAAAGUACAUAGUCCAUCUAUUAAUCCUUAGUUCUUACAGUAAUGAGUGUGCUUUUAUCCUUGCUUAUCUGAUAAUCUAGCUUUUGAU
rnacentral:misc_RNA from 1 species